rnacentral:rRNA from 1 species
GGGGAAUCUUGCGCAAUGGGCGAAAGCCUGACGCAGCAACGCCGCGUGAACGAAGAAGGCCUUCGGGUCGUAAAGUUCUGUCAGGGGGGACGAAGUUUUGACGGUACCCCCGGAGGAAGCCCCGGCUAACUACGUGCCAGCAGCCGCGGUAACACGUAGGGGGCGAGCGUUGUCCGGAAUUACUGGGCGUAAAGGGCGUGUAGGCGGCCUUUCAAGUCAGGUGUGAAAUUCCAGGGCUCAACCCUGGGCGUGCACUUGAAACUGGGGGGCUUGAGUGCAGGAGAGGAAAGUGGAAUUCCCAGUGUAGCGGUGAAAUGCGUAGAUAUUGGGAGGAACACCAGUGGCGAAGGCGACUUUCUGGCCUGUAACUGACGCUGAGGCGCGAAAGCUAGGGGAGCAAAC